rnacentral:misc_RNA from 1 species
GAUGAAGAACGUAGCGAAAUGCGAUAAGUAAUGUGAAUUGCAGAAUUCAGUGAAUCAUCGAAUCUUUGAACGCACAUUGCGCCCGCCAGUAUUCUGGCGGGCAUGCCUGUUCGAGCGUCAUUUCAACCAUCAAGCCCCAGGCUUGUGUUGGGGACCUGCGGCUGCCGCAGGCCCUGAAGACCAGUGGCGGGCUCGCUGUCACACCGGGCGUAGUAGAUUUUAUCUCGCUCAGGGCGUGCUGCGGGUUCCGGCCGUUAAAAAGCCUUUUUUACCCAAGGUUGACCUCGUAUCAGGUAGGAAGACCCGCUGAACUUAAGCAUAUCAAUAAGCGGAGGA